GCCGGGACAUUGACGGUGGAGGAAGGUCCAUGAGUUUUCGCUGUUCGCCGGUAAUGCAAGUGCGUACUGCUCAAGUGUGUGGUUGUGAGAUCAUCUCGAAAUCCUUUUAACAGUUCAGGAACAACGUGAUGUAAAUAUGAGACGGGCCCUCGUCCUUCGUGCACUUCCUGUGUACCUGCGUGAAGAUGCCUCCAAGUUUUUCAGGACCUGUAAUUCAGCAGAUGGUCCAGACCUCACUGACACUCCGGUGGCUCUCCUGACAGUUGUCACUGAUGAUACUACUGAUGCGGCCCUCUUCAGCCCUGAGAGCAUCUGUAUUGUCGUGGAAGAUGAAAUACUUGUGAGUGGUCCCACAAACCUGGCUGACUCAUUUAUCCUGCUCUUUGGGUAUGUCUAUGCACUAGACCUACAGUACCCAAAGAAUCUCGAGCUUACAUUCACAUUUAUCCAAAAAGUUGUGAUGUGUCUUGAGGACAACAAACCACUGAAAGGGCGUCUACUGACACUGAAGAAUGAUUUGUUCAAUGAGUGAAUCACUCAGAAUGGACUAUUUGUUGAGCUGAGUAUUGAGGAUGUUUUUUGUUUUUUUUCCCCUCUUUACAAAUGUAAUAAUUUGCCUCUUCUACCUCAUGUUUAAUAUGUUACACUGUUUGCCUCUUCUACCUCAGAUUUAAUACAUUGAUUGUUAAUAGAUAAAUAU